rnacentral:rRNA from 1 species
GUGCCAGCAGCCGCGGUAACACGUAGGGGACGAGCGUUGUCCGGAUUCAUUGGGCGUAAAGCGCGCGUAGGCGGCCCGGAAAGUCGGUUGUGAAAUCCUGGGGCUCAACCCCAGGACUGCGUCCGAUACUUCCGGGCUGGAGGUAGGUAGGGGAGAUCGGAAUUCCUGGUGUAGCGGUGAAAUGCGCAGAUAUCAGGAGGAACACCGGUGGCGAAGGCGGAUCUCUGGGCCUUACCUGACGCUGAUGCGCGAAAGCUAGGGGAGCGAACAGGAUUAGAUACCCCGGUAGUCC